rnacentral:lncRNA from 1 species
CUUUUCUAAGUUUUCUUGUCGUAGAUUAGAUAACUCAAUUAAAACAUGUGAGAAAAAAAAUUUGGCUUGUUGAAUCAUUCUUGUUUUGUAUUAUCGAGUAUGCCAAUUUUAUUGUUCUACCCCCUGGGUACACAUGCCUGGAAAAAAUAUGUUCCUAUUAAGAUUGUAGAUUUGUUAGUGUAGCUUAGUCAAAUCACUGCUAUCAAUCAAUUCCUUGAAAAAAAAAUUAGUUAUGUAUAAGAAACUUUUGUUCAUUGCUCUUAUGUGUUGCAAAAUUAUAUAGGAUCCCUUCCUUGAGCAUUGUUUUUUGUUAUGUUAUAUUUACAUCAUGAAGCAUUUUACUUACUAGCAUUAUUCUCCUGGGCUUCCAAAACGCAUAAAUAACAUUCUUUGCACAGGUUAUAAGGGGCCAAUAUUAAUGCUGAUUUUGGAGAAGUAUCAACAAGGUUUUUCUAUACAGUUAAUUUUUUUUACCAAAAAUCAAAGAGCCAUGAAAAUGGACGCUAAAAUUUUGUUUUCAAAAU